GCUUCUGCUGGACUCUUCUUCCUUCCGCCUUGACCUUCAUUCCUCAUCUCCUAGUCUAAGGUUUCUGAGUGUCCUUUGCUCUUUCCUUCUGGGAUAACGGCUUCCAGAUGGGUUUGCUCUUCAGUUUGGCUUGGCUCGGCUUGUUUUGGUUUAUGUCAUCUGAAGUGCAUAGUCAGAGAAACAUAACUAAAGUCUAAAGAAUUCUUUAAAAUUUUCUUUUCCUAUUUUUACAGUUUUGUUUGAAGGUUUCCCAGAGUUAGGCUUCCGGUGAAGAAAUGAUUUCUUAUGAGCUAUAGGCUCUGGAAACAGAGAUUCUGCCCUUGGGUAUUUUGUGGUCAUAGUCAAGUUUUAAAAAUCAGUCCCUUCCUCUGAACAGCUGGGAGAAUGGUACUUCUGCCCCUCAAAGAGUUGCUCUAAGGCUAAGAAAUUAGAAGCUAUGACUGUUACUGGGGAUGACAUAAGAUUAAUAAAACUGUUCUUAUUUUAUAUUUCAAAUAUGUUCAUCCAUCCUUACACUGAACUGCUGAAUCAACACAAGUUUAGUGGAUCAUUCGUGUAUGCCAGAACAUUAAAUGGAUGGACAUAUAUGCAAAUGUGAUCCCAUCUCACCGUCACAGUGUCACAAAGUGACAGACUUGAACAUAGUUUAGAGUAACAUGGCCAAGUGUGACUCAUAGGGCCUCCAAUGGUCCACAGAUCCACCCUUCACUUGAGAGGGUAUCUUGUGUCCUGACUGCAGUCCUGGAGGUAUGGGUCUUUCACAAGCAGCUCUACUAUCCCUCAAGUUUUGGCUUUCACAGACUCUGAGGGACUGUUGAGUCUUUCUACAGUGGUGUCACCAUCCCUUGCCCUAACCAGCCAAGAUAACAUUUACUCCAGUGCUAUCUGCAGAUUGCCCCUGACAGAGUGGUGCUUCCUCCCAGUUUAUUAUGGGGAGAUUUCACAGGGAUACAACGUCUUAGUCACUGUAACCACUCACUGAUGAUGCCAUUGGAGUUUUGUGGUGAGUUAGCCUGGAUGUGGAGAAUAUUAUGUCUGUAACUUUCAGGACUGGAAGAGGUCUAGUCUACAUUUUGAGGUUGCUUUGUGCAGAAUUCCCAUGGGAUUGUUCAGCUGUUCAUUUGACUCAUCUGGAGAAUAAUGAGAAAAUCCAUAGGAAUAUUUAUAUGCUCAUUAGAACCAUAAGAGGUUUUUUUUUUCUUUUCUUUUUCUUUCUUUCUUUUCUUUUUUUUUUUUUUUUUGUUAGGUUUGGGUUCGCCACUGUGGCACAUGUCUGUGGUCCUCAGUAGCUGGAGAGGUGGAGGUUGUAGAGUCAUUUGAGUCAAUAAGUUCCAGAUGGGGCGUGCUAGUGGGGACUCCUGCCUAAAUCUAGCUGCCUGUCUUUCAGUUACUGUUAACCCUUCUCAUAAACAAUCGAUC
rnacentral:lncRNA from 1 species